GGCAAAUGGUACUCUUGCAACAAUUGGUUUUGAGGAAAGAGCUUAUUUCAAAUACAGCCUUUUCAAAAAUCUGAGCUUGAGCCUGCCCUUCUAGUUUGGUCACAUAUCAGACCUGAGCAUUGUCAUCCCUUUGCUGUUUCACAAUCAAGAGAUGUCAUAAUGAUAUAGCACAGACCUGUGGGGUGGUUUUAUUUUUUAUUUUUUCCUAGGGGGAAGAGAGAAACAAAUAUGAGCCAAUGCCUAUCAGGUUGAGUGGUUAUGAUGCUAAUGAAAACCUGGAACACUAUUGCAAACUGGAAUGUUUGGCAGAAGCAGGAAUAGUUCUGUGCUGUUUAUGAGGUAUAUAAAAAGUGUGGCUGGAGUUGAUAUCACCAGCCUGCUGCAUGCCAGGGUUGGACUGACAGCAAAAUUAUAG
rnacentral:lncRNA from 1 species